CUAAAGGUGUUGUUUAACACCACCUUAACUUUUAAGGACGCUCUAU
rfam:Cavia porcellus supercont2_24 genomic scaffold, whole genome shotgun sequence.